rnacentral:lncRNA from 1 species
AUGACUUUGGACUGCCAUAUAAGUCUAUCUGCUUAUGAUGCAGAGGGCUUCAUGCAUAAUUCACCGGGCAUGAGAAACGGGGCAAUUGCCUCUUUUCUGACAAUGAACAGAGAGCUGAGGGAGACGUCCAGAGUCCAAGCUGCAAAAGCGGGGGCACAGCAGGCAGCAAGUCUGCAGCACUGCCAAAGCCCACAGUAUUCCUUGGGGCAGCUGCAUGCCAGCUUGCAUGAGGGAGCCCACCCAGAACUCCCAGGGAGCUCCUGCAAAAGUUGUGGCAAUGGAAGAAGCUAUGGAAAGUUGCUGGACUGGAUAGCAAAGCUGAUGGAAAGGAAUCAUGCUGCGAAAAUAUGCUGGGUUAGAGGAGGGCUUUGUUUUCAAACAUUUGAUUUUAAUCUGUUUCACUCAGUAGAUUUAAGUGCUUUAUUUUUGAAAAGAUUUCUUUUUUUUCAUUCUAGAGACUGCAAAUACUUUUGGUGGCUUUGGUAUGCUAAGCUUACAGAGAAGGUGGGACAAUUGUCCUUGAAGUUCUGGACUCAUACUGCUGUCUGUGAAACAGUCCACUUUUAUCAACAUACUUCUGUCAUACUACCCCGGAAACUGAAUACUGCAGCUGGGAGAUGCAACAUCUAUUGAAUAACAAUGCAAACACUGGGCCACGUUCAGAGAUUCACCAGAACCAUGAAGAGUUUGGAACCUCUGAAGACUUGAACCAAGCUGGUCCAGAAUUAGAAAGAAGGACAAGUGCCCUUCACCACAGAAACACCCUGGAGAUACUGAUAAAGCUUAAAGUUUAUCUUUAGGGGGAUGUGUCACACAUUUAUUUGUUUUCACUUUUAGACAGUGUUUUCUAUCUAGAUAAAUGAUUGACUUUGGCAUUUUGUGGACAAGCACUUAGGUUAGAAGCAAGAAAAUUAACACUCACAGCUGGUCUAGCUGGAAGCCUGCACCUUCUUUUACCAGAAUGGCUGAUGUUUGCAAUGAUAAAAAGUAACUGAAAGCAGGUGAAGAAAGAAUAGUGAAUAUGCUCUUGGUGUUUGUCACCUAGUAUAUUAAAAGUAACUAUAGGGAAAUAACUUAUACAGCUCUAAUCUACUACUGAAAAUGCAUUUAUGCUCACAUUUGAUCUGAAUUUAUGAGAUUUGAGCAUAUGCUUAAAGCUGUACACAUGAUUCCUGGACUGAGCAAAUUAGCCAUUUACCACUGAUUUCAGUGGGAGUUUAGUACCAUUAGCAUUUUGAAGGGCUCAGACAAUUGUGUUACUAGCCCUUAUAUCUCUUUAAAAUCUUACCUUAAUGGUGUCCAUGCCAGUAAAUUGAAUAGUGUUGGGAAAUGUUCUCUGGCCUUGUGGCCAAGUGACACAGUCUGGCCACAUCCUUACAGGAAAACUCUUCAAAUUCAAAAUUGGGUGGCUGCAUCCAAACUUGGCAAUACCAAGGGCAAUCCCCACAUCAUAAGGACUGGGGAGAAUGCGAACUGGCCCCAUGCCAGGGGCUGUUUUAACAGAUCAGAAGUCUGUGUUUCACAGCCCAGUAACACUCCCUAGAUAGGUUUAGUUUUUACGUACAACCCUCGUAGCCUUUUUUUUUUUUUUUUUUUUUCUGUAAAAUUCUUCAUAAAAAUCAGCAUUGGGUAC